rnacentral:rRNA from 1 species
UGGGGAAUAUUGCACAAUGGGGGAAACCCUGAUGCAGCGACGCCGCGUGAGCGAAGAAGGUUUUCGAAUCGUAAAGCUCUGUCCUAUGGGAAGAUAAUGACGGUACCAUAGGAGGAAGCCCCGGCUAACUACGUGCCAGCAGCCGCGGUAAUACGUAGGGGGCAAGCGUUGUCCGGAAUCACUGGGCGUAAAGGGUUCGCAGGCGGAAAUGCAAGUCAGUUGUGAAAGGCAGAGGCUCAACCUCUGUAAGCAAUUGAAACUGUAUUUCUUGAGAUGUGGAGAGGCAAGUGGAAUUCCUAGUGUAGCGGUGAAAUGCGUAGAUAUUAGGAAGAAUACCGGUGGCGAAGGCGACUUGCUGGACGCAAACUGACGCUGAGGAACGAAAGCGUGGGUAGCAAACAGG